ACGAACGCUGGCGGCGUGCUUAACACAUGCAAGUCGAACGAUGAAGCCGCUUCGGUGGUGGAUUAGUGGCGAACGGGUGAGUAACACGUGGGCAAUCUGCCCUGCACUCUGGGACAAGCCCUGGAAACGGGGUCUAAUACCGGAUACGACCAUCUGAGGCAUCUCAUGGUGGUGGAAAGCUCCGGCGGUGCAGGAUGAGCCCGCGGCCUAUCAGCUUGUUGGUGGGGUGAUGGCCUACCAAGGCGACGACGGGUAGCCGGCCUGAGAGGGCGACCGGCCACACUGGGACUGAGACACGGCCCAG
rnacentral:rRNA from 1 species